rnacentral:tRNA from 1 species
GGGGACGUAGUUCAAUUGGUUCCGCCCUGUCACGGCGGAAGUUGCGGGUUCGAGCCCCGUCGUCCCCGCCA